AUUGAACGCUGGCGGCAGGCCUAACACAUGCAAGUCGAGCGAGAGGCGGACGGGUGAGUAAUGUAUGGGGACUGCCCGAUCGAGGGGGAUUACUACUGGAAACGGUGGCUAAUACCGCAUACUAUCGUAUGACCCAGAUGGGAUUAGCUAGGUGGUGGGGUAAAGGCUCACCUAGGCGACGCUCCCUAGCUGGUCUGAGAGGACGAUCAGCCACACGGGGACUGAGACACGGCCCAGACUCCUACGGAGGCAGCAGUGGGGAAUAUUGCACAAUGGGCGCAAGCCUGAUGCAGCCAUGCCGCGUGUAUGAAGAAGGCCUUAGGGUUGUAAAGUACUUUCAGCGGGGAGGCGUUACCCGCAGAAGAAGCACCGGCUAACUCCGUGCCAGCAGCCGCGGUAAUUC
rnacentral:rRNA from 1 species